AGAGAGGUGUCCGAGUGGCUGAAGGUGCAUGCUUGGAAAGCAUGUUUGGAUGCAAAUCCAACGGGGGUUCGAAUCCCCCUCUCUCUG
rnacentral:tRNA from 1 species